UAGCAGUGCUUUCCUGAAGAGAAAAUAUCUUGUACUAACUUUUUUUUUUCUUUUAGAGAAAGAGGCAUAACUAGAACCACUGACUAAAGUUGAAGUAAUUUUAGGUGAAGAGAAGAGUAUGGUAGAUAUUUUUUCCAUAUCAUACGUCCUUCUAUGUGGAAAUCGAAGCGUGGAAGAUGAGAAUGUUGCAGAAAAAAGGUGGUCAUUUUUAGAAUGUGUUUCGAAGCCUUUUAUAACUGUACCUGGAGCCAAAUUCCUAGACUGGUUGGUGCUUUCUCAUGAGAUCCCUGUGACUGACAAAGACGACAUUGUUGUGCUGAGCAUUUGCGUUAACUGUCCUGACAUUUGGCCUGAGCACAGACAGAUAUAGUUGCUAAUGUAGCCACGCUUUCAAAGGACUUUUAUGCCAAGAGGAGCUGGAAAAAGUGCUUAAGAGAUGGAUUUUAGAGUCUUUGAAAUUGCCGUUGUGUGUUCCCUGUUAAAAAUCAAAAUCGCAUAGUCCAAGUUACUCCAGAGGAGGGAGUUUGUUAAAGUUUGUUUUUCAUUAUGGAGCUCCAAAAUGAAAAGGAUUAGUUCGUUUACCAACUAAAUGUAAGAAAACAACAAAAUCUGCAUUCUGAUUAACUUCCUAGCAAAGCCCAGGGCACAGAAAGAGAAAUUUGUUUUGGUGUAGUCCUGUAACUUUCUGAAUUACAGUUGUACAAGUACUGCUUAACAUGGGUUCAUUAGGCCUUUAUUUAUAUAUCUACCUCUGUAGAAGAGCCUGCUUGGCUUUGUAUAUGUUCCUUGGUUUAAUAGUUUAAUGUUCCACAACACUAUAUCUCAAGUUCUAAGCAGCAGUAAAUCCAUACACCAGAUAAGGAAGUGAGAUGAUAAAGUGAUUUCCUUUUCAUGGUAGCUACAGAUCUGUAUGUAUGCUGUAGCAAAUUGUUGAUU